ACUGGCGUUGAAACUCAUCGUUUCAUUAAAGAUGGUGUUAUGUGGGCUUCAUUUUCAUUAUGGGCCUUAAUUUUGCUCCAGUCACACAGCCAGUAGAUAAUAUUUUAAGCUGUAAACGUGGUCCUAAGCGUCGUUUUGAUACUAGGUUUGUGCCUGAUUUCGUCUACGCCAUUUGAGAUCGAAACAACCGAGUUCUGAGAGCAAUGUUUCAUCUUCUUCCUUAGAAUCCGAAAAGCUAUCAGUUACUUUUCAUCUUCUUAAAGUCCUUAUUAAAUCCAUCACCCAUGAUUUACAUUGAAUGUGAGUUUCCCCCGUAGAAGGCGGUGGAACUGCGAUUAUAAAAAGAAUGGUCAAGGACGUACAGUAGCAUGUUCCAUCCAGGAGAGGCCGAAACAGGAGUCAUUCCAUUAUACAAUUUCAAGGUCUCUUACAUCACAUCCCACCUCUCUUGGUGUUCUUCAACAGUGUAACUUCUAACCUGAGGCUGAGAAUUUCUAAAGGAGGUCGCUUUUGUUGAUCAAACACCCCAUUACCAUAGAAUCUCAAGAUUGCGACUUUACAUGGGUUUAGGUGAUAGCCGUCAAUGGGCAGUUUCCAAGACCCAUGUUUAAUGCUAUGACCAACUACAAUGUUAUUGUUAGUCUUAAUUGGAUGAGCCUCUUCUUUUGACUUGGUGGAAUAUCAAAUUGGAAGCUUCUUCUACUCUCCCUGACUCAACUUUCAGAGAGCAUAUGGUAAUUUUGGUCAUGUUGUGAUUAAUAACUGGAAUAUUAAUCUUAUCCUUUUCCCACAGCCUGACGGCGAAAUGGAUAAUACAUGACUAUGGAAAAGAACUUGGGAUGCCGGAUGGAGUCUCAUCAUUAGACUUAUAGCUUCCCGUUCCAAUCUAUGUGAGAAUCAAAUAUGGGUCUGUGUCCUUUACUUCGCCUUGGUUGUUACUGAGAUCUACGGUGGUUGUUUUGCUUCUCUUUUCAAAUGGUGUGGGAAUGGUGGCAUCUUUCCAGUAAGUAAGUGAGACAUACGGAUAAGGUUUGUUUUUUCACGGAGCUAUCAGGUAGUUCCUUUCUCCGUGCGGCCUACUUUGAGGACAGUUGACAGAGUGUUUGAGGCGGUACUAUUUGGUGGCGGUGGAGGCGAGUCUGUCUGUAGAGUGUGGCUUAGAUUAAUUCUAAUAUUCCGCACUGGUGAAACCGUUUUGUUCAUGUAGAGGUUCCCUAACUUACGUUUUCCUUUUCUUUUCUUGCAAUUUAUCUAGAAUCUAGAUUCAUAUAAACUACUUUCUGCUAAUUUUAUUUUCUCUGUAGUUUGACAUCAUAGAAGUUAAUAGUAAUUUUGUGCACUUGCAAGCUUGGUUCGAGAAAGCGAGCGCUUUAAGCGCCAAGGCGCAAAGCGACCCUAAGCGAGGACCUCAUCGCUUGCGGACCUCAUGGCGAAGCAAGGUACAUAAAUCCCUCGCUUUCCCUCGCUUUGUAUCGCUUUGGAGAUAUUCGUAAAGCGCUAAAAACGUCUUUGUUGUACCUGUAGAAAAAAGUAGAUUUUAUUCAAAUUUGUGAAAUUAACAAAACCGUUUUAAGAAGAAUAUUUACCAUAUCUAAAAGUAUAUACUCUUUUCACGUAUUAGCUUUGACAAGGAGUUGGAGUAUGAGGACUCUGAAUUGUCUACUGUUCUGUUUUAAUUUGCUUUUGAACUUUUAUUUUGGUGUUUGCAUUUGCUUUUUUUCAGUUAUGUUUUAAGUUAUGGAUUGGUUUUUUAUUAUAUGGAUUUGGUUUUUCAAGUUAUGUUGCCUGAUAUACAUAUAGUGUUCGAGAGGUUACCUUUUGGUUGCAGGAUACACAAAGCGCUCGCUUUAUGUCGCCAAGGCGCUAAGCGCUAAGCGCUCAUCUCCUCGCUUCGUCUCGCCAUGUGCUUUCUCGAACCAAGCUUGCAAGAAUAAUCAAACUUAUUACUCUAAUUACUCACAGAACUUACUAAAAAUAUUAAUGGUUCUGAAUUUUGACGUAUCGGCAAGUGUUACAAUAAACUGCAGACUUAUUGAGUC